rnacentral:tRNA from 1 species
AUAUUUAAUCUAAAAGAGAUUACUAAUUUCGGCUUAGUAAAUUUUGGUUAAACCCCAAAAAUAUUUU